CUGUAAUUCAUUUUUUUAGUAAACUGCUACUAAAGUCUGUAGUAAUGAAACAUUUACUAAAAUUUUUAGUAAUUAUAACAGAAAAUUUUAGUUAUGUUGCCUGGAAUCACUAAAGUCUUAUGUUAUCCUUACUAAAAUUAUAUUUAGCUGUGAAUUUUUUAGUGAAGAUAACUAAAAUUUUUAGUUUUACUCCUCGUUUACUAAAGUUUAGUAGGUAAUUUAGUCAAAUUCUUUACUAAAGUUUCCAGUAAAGACAUAACUACUAAAAUUCUUUAGUUAUGUCAACUAGAAUUUUAGGAUUAAUGACUACAAUAAUAUUUUCUUCUUUUACUAAAGUUUAGCCAUGCCAAUCAAAAAUUUAGUUGAUAUCACUAAAUUGACACAUUUUUAAACCAAUUAAAUUUUUAGCAAAAAAUUAGAAUUUUUAUUUCCUCUAUAUCAUUUGAUAGUAAUUAUUUCUGAUCAAGUUAAUUUGCGAAAAUAUUAGCUACGUAAUUUAUUUUACAUAUUGUCUUUGUUCCAAUGCAAGAUGUUGCAGCUCAAACUAUUUUUAUUGUUUUAUUGGGGUGCCGAGGUCCCGAAAAAAAUGCAUGCAGAAGAUUUGUGUGAAGAACGCAUACAACACAUAUACCGAAGGCCUCAUUUUUUCUCACCCUUUCCUACCCACACACAAAUUUUUCUCCUCAGCACCCUCUUAAGUAUUUCACAAUAUUCAGUUCUUUGUGGAAUUUUCCAUCGAAAGUACGCAAAGUACUUUGUCUUCAAUCAGUGAGAUAUGUGAAAAGUAAAUUUAAUCCAUUUAUAGGAUUUUUUAGUGUAGAAAUUGUGAAAAAAUGGAUAAACGUGACAAGGUAAUGUAUAAUUUUUAUAAUUAACAAUACUUUAUAUUACGAACUGAUUUGCAAUAAAUAAAAUUACUAACUUUAAAUUCAACCAACUAAUUAUAUGAUUUUACUACCUUGCAGUUAAUCAAACUCAAUAAACAGGAGAGAAAUGGAUCAUAUUCUUUAACCUUCCUGUCUGUACCUAAAUUGUCUGCCGAUCCCCAAUAAUAAUUGAAACAGGAUGGAGGAAAUCCAAUGGGAAAAAUUAAAAUUUAAAAAUUUCCCCGAAUGAGCGUAUCAAGCGCUGUCAACCCGUAAUCAAAUUGUGGAAAUUUCAAUUGAACGAAGAGGAUAAACACGAAAAGUUAAUCAGACUACAAUAAAAAACAGGAAAAUGGAUAACAUUCUCAUCGAAGCCCUCUUGUCUGUACCUGGAUAGAGUCUAUGAUCGAAAAUAUUGAUUGAGAUAGGACAGAAGAAAUCAAAUCACCAGAAAUAAAAUUUAAAGGUAAAUAUAUUUUUCAUAAAAUAUAUUAAGUAAAAAAAUUAUAACAUCAGAAAAUUCAGGAAAUUAAUUUUAAUGUGAUUCAUUUACAGAUUCCGCUAACUGACAUAAAAAACAGAACUUUCGCGAUUCCAUGAAGGGGUACUUUGGAAGAAAAUGACGCUGAAGAUACUCACAUGAAUCUGCUCAACUUUACUGAACAAAAAGGCUUUUCAAAACGGGGUACCUGCCUAAUAUUUCAUAUAAUGUAUUAUAAAAUAAAUCAAAAUUAAAUAAAAAAUUAUUUUUUAUGAAAAUCCAA